UUUCUAAUAAAUAAAACAAUUUUUUUUUUAAAUCAAAAAUUCAAAGUGCUGAAAAAAUGAUUGGGUUGGGGUAUUUUUGAUGGGUCAGUCUGAGUACAUCAAAGAAAUUUGUUUACAUUGUUGCCCUUAUUUGCUAGUACUGUAUUUGGUUGACUUGAACUUUGACCUACUUUACAAAGAUACCCCAGAAACUUUAAAUUAACUAAAGACUUUUGAAUAUUGAGUGAUGUAUGUUGAUAAUUAACAUUAAUUUUAUACAUGUUUAUGAGCUCAUAAAACUGUUCUUUUAAACUAUAUGAUAUUCAGUAAACCACAAAAACUGAUAUCUUAAUAUUAUGAAAAUACAUUGGGAUGGAAUCUCACAAAGUGGAUCGUGCAAUGUGACAAUUGCUUUGAAACAUGUAACACAUGUAAAAUGAUAAAUAAUUAUUUAUGAUGAUUUCAACUUAAUUAUUCAGUUGAGGGUUGCAUUCUGUAUAUGCUAGUAGCAUAAAAAUAGCUGACCACUCUUAGAUUUUAUAGAUACAUCUUUAAAGAAGCUAAAAGCAGGUGACAUAUGUGUUCCUUGGAACACUUUAGUUUGUAAUGAUAUUGAUGUCCUGUACUCUUUUAUAACACUUUCUCUUCUUUCAGCAAUGUUAAGCUUGAUUUAGCCACUGCAGUAUAAGGAGAGAAGCAGACCAGAAACCCUGACUAAAGUAAAGAUGAUUUGCAUAACAAAGGCAGAUGAAUAAAUCACAAGAGUCCAAAGUUUUGAUGACCAUGCACAGUCGAGAUACUGAAACAAAGACAUGCCUGCACUGUUCACUCAAUUUUUCAGAAUAACGUGUCAAAUUGAAAUCCAUCUUAUGUUGGACUAAACAAUCAGGACAUUUUUCUGGAUCAAAGGUUGCACAAAGUAUUGACAAAAUCAAAGAUUACCUGGUAGUCUGCAAAUGGAGUGAUCAUUGGAUGAGCCAGACAACACCAUUUUCCUCGGAAAUUUUAGAAUUGAGGCAAUCUCUAUCUUCAUAGAUGACUG